AGGGUUUAGAGUUGAUGAUUUAGGGUUUAAAGUUGAUGUUUUAUGUUUAGAUUUAAGGUUUAGGGUUUACGUUUAGGAUUUAGAGUUGAUGUUUUAGGGUUUAGAUUUGAAGUUUUAGGGUUUAGGGUUUAGAGUUGAUGAUUUAGGGUUUAGAGUUGAUGUUUUAAGUUUUAGGGUUUAGGGUUUGAAGUUUUAGGGUUUAGGGUUUGGGGUUUAGGGUUUAGAGUUGAUGUUUCAUUGUUUAGGGUUUAGAGUUGAUGAUUUAGGGUUUAGAGUUGAU
rnacentral:lncRNA from 1 species